CACUCACAACGUUCCAUUAUCAGCUGGUCUUUAAAAAGCAUUGUUUAGUAGCCAAUGCUGUUUCUUGCCAUGUCCCAGACCUCAGUCAGGUACCUUUUCUGUUUAUCAUCACCAGCAUACAGCCUGUCCAAAGAAUUACCUUCAGCUAUAUCUCUCUCUCACACAACUAUAUGAAAGUCCAGAUGGUGGCCUAUUUAAAACAUCUGGUACCUAGAAAAAAUGAGGGUUAGCAUCAUUUUUUGUAUGCCCUUCUAUGCAAUAAUGCUAUGUCUUAAUCAGAUAGUGGAAAACUGCUUAUUGAUCAUUUAGGGUUUCAUUCUUCUCAGUUACAGAAGAGUGUACAAGAAUUAGUUUCACUGAUGCAGAAGUGUAGGUAAAGGAAAUUCUUCAUAGAGAGUCAACCAAGAAACUCUUCUCUGUAGUCCUUCAUGAGUCUCAAGAAUGUGUUUGUUUUGUCCAUCACUGGAGAAAAUGAAGAACAGAGGAGAAAAGAGAAAAAAAAAAAAAAAAAAAGUGAAGUUUAAGCACAAACUUUUGCACAAAGUUGAUUUGGCUUCACUUCUUUAACACUUAAGAUCAUCAGCUCAUGAAGAUGAAAGCUGACAAAGUAAAAUUAAAACGGCGAAGAGUCACAAGCAACACCAAGCAAAGGAGC
rnacentral:lncRNA from 1 species